rnacentral:tRNA from 1 species
AGCAGCGUGGUUCAGUGGAAAGAGCCUGGGCUUCAGAGUCAGAGGUCGUGGGUUCAACUCCCGGCUCUGCCA